rnacentral:rRNA from 1 species
CUACGGGCGGCAGCAGUGAGGAAUAUUGGUCAAUGGGCGCAAGCCUGAACCAGCCACUCCGCGUGUAGGAUGGCUGCCCUAUGGGUUGUAAACUACUUUUAUACAGGAAGAAACCUCCAUACGUGUAUGGAGCUGACUGUACUGUAAGAAUAAGCAUCGGCUAACUCCGUGCCAGCAGCCGCGGUAAUACGGAGGAUGCAAGCGUUAUCCGGAUUUAUUAGGUCUAAAGGGUGCGUAGGCGGAUAUUUAAGUCAGUGGUGAAAUCCUACAGCUUAACUGUAGAACUGCCAUUGAUACUGGAUGUCUUGAGUUUAGUUGAGGUAGGCGGAAUGUGUAGUGUAGCGGUGAAAUGCUUAGAUAUUACACAGAACACCGAUUGCGAAGGCAGCUUACUAAGCUAACACUGACGCUGAGGCACGAAAGCGUGGGGAGCGAACAGGAUUAGAUACCCCUGUAGUC